GCAAGUUGAGCGGAAACGACAUUAUUGAUUCUUCGGAUAAUUUAAUGGGCGUCGAGCGGCGGACGGGUGAGUAAUGCCUAGGAAAUUGCCUUGAUGUGGGGGAUAACCAUUGGAAACGAUGGCUAAUACCGCAUAAUGCCUACGGGCCAAAGAGGGGGAUCUUCGGGCCUCUCGCGUCAAGAUAUGCCUAGGUGGGAUUAGCUAGUUGGUGAGGUAAUGGCUCACCAAGGCGACGAUCCCUAGCUGGUCUGAGAGGAUGAUC
rnacentral:rRNA from 1 species